rnacentral:rRNA from 1 species
AGUGAACGCUGGCGGUAGGCCUAACACAUGCAAGUCGAACGGCAGCACAGUAAGAGCUUGCUCUUACGGGUGGCGAGUGGCGGACGGGUGAGGAAUACAUCGGAAUCUACUUUUUCGUGGGGGAUAACGUAGGGAAACUUACGCUAAUACCGCAUACGACCUACGGGUGAAAGCAGUGGAUCUUCGGACCUUGCGCGAUUGAAUGAGCCGAUGUCGGAUUAGCUAGUUGGCGGGGUAAAGGCCCACCAAGGCGACGAUCCGUAGCUGGUCUGAGAGGAUGAUCAGCCACACUGGAACUGAGACACGGUCCAGACUCCUACGGGGGGCAGCAGUGGGGAAUAUUGGACAAUGGGCGCAAGCCUGAUCCAGCCAUACCGCGUGGGUGAAGAAGGCCUUCGGGUUGUAAAGCCCUUUUGUUGGGAAAGAAAAGCAGCAGGUUAAUACCCCGCUGUUCUGACGGUACCCAAAGAAUAAGCACCGGCUAACUUCGUG